UACGUAGGGUGCAAGCGUUAAUCGGAAUUACUGGGCGUAAAGCGUGCGCAGGCGGUUAUGUAAGACAGUUGUGAAAUCCCCGGGCUCAACCUGGGAACUGCAUCUGUGACUGCAUAGCUAGAGUACGGUAGAGGGGGAUGGAAUUCCGCGUGUAGCAGUGAAAUGCGUAGAUAUGCGGAGGAACACCGAUGGCGAAGGCGGCAUCCUGGACCGGUAUUGACGCUGAGGCGCGAAAGCCAGGGGAGCAAACGGG
rnacentral:rRNA from 1 species